UGAGUAACACGUGAGUGACCUGCCUUUUAGACUGGAACAACUUACCGAAAGGUGAGCUAAUGCCGGAUGAGUUAUAUAAGUGCAUGUUUAUAUAGGAAAAGUUGGGGAGACCUGACGCUGAAAGAUGGACUCGCGUCCCAUUAGCUAGUUGGUAGGGUAAUGGCCUACCAAGGCGACGAUGGGUAGCCGGCCUGAGAGGGUGGCCGACCACACUGGGACUGAGACACGGCCCAGACUCCUACGGGAGGCAGCAG
rnacentral:rRNA from 1 species